AACGAACGCUGGCGGCAUGCCUAACACAUGCAAGUCGAACGAUUGCCUUCGGGUGAUAGUGGCGCACGGGUGCGUAACGCGUGGGAAUCUGCCCUUAGGUUCGGAAUAACAGCUGGAAACGGCUGCUAAUACCGGAUGAUAUCGCGAGAUCAAAGAUUUAUCGCCUGAGGAUGAGCCCGCGUUGGAUUAGGUAGUUGGUGGGGUAAAGGCCUACCAAGCCGACGAUCCAUAGCUGGUCUGAGAGGAUGAUCAGCCACACUGGGACUGAGACACGGCCCAGACUCCUACGGGAGGCAGCAGUGGGGAAUAUUGGACAAUGGGCGCAAGCCUGAUCCAGCAAUGCCGCGUGAGUGAUGAAGGCCCUAGGGUUGUAAAGCUCUUUUACCCGGGAAGAUAAUGACGGUACCGGGAGAAUAAGCCCCGGCUAACUCCGUG
rnacentral:rRNA from 1 species